rnacentral:rRNA from 1 species
CAACCUCAGUUAGGUGGGAUUACCUGUUGAGUUUAAGCAAAUCAAUAAGAGAAAGAAAAGAAAUUUACCAUGAUUCCCCUAGUAACAAUGAGUGAAUCAAGAAGAACUUAGCUUGAGAAUUGGGCACCUUUGACAUCUGAAUUAUAGUAUAGAAAAGCAUCCCUAGUGACAAACUAGGCCUAAGUUCCCUAGAAAGGGGCACUAGAGAGGGUAAGAGCCCCGUUAUGCCUAGACCUUAUCACACUAUAAGGUACUAUUUACGAGUUGGGUUGUUUAGGAAUGCAGCCCCAAUCAAGUAAUAAAUUCUAUCCAACAUUGAAUAUAGGUGAGAGAUUGAUAAUGAACAAGUAUUGAAAGGGAAAGAUGAAAAAAACUUUGAAAGAAGAGUCAAAAGUGCUUGAAAUUGUCAAGAGGGAAGUGGAUGAGGGUCGGUGAUGCAUACCAAUCAAAUGUAGAAUGAUGAGAGCUCAUCCACCAAGCAACUUUGGGUGUGGACCGAUGUGAGUUGAGGUAAUGGGUCAAGCUUGGGCUUCGAUAUGUCUAUGGAAAUGUCGUAAAAGUGAUCAUGGAAUGCAGCACAUGCUAUGUCAGUGUGCCUUGGCACUCAUAUGCUCUCAGUGUUAGCCUACAAGUUCCUCAGUUGACCCAUCUUGAAACAUGAACCAAGAAGUCUAACAAGUGUGUGAGUUAAUAGGCUAAGAAAUCCAUAAGGCAUAAGGAAGCUGAUUGGUGAGAUCCCUCACGAGUACACCACCAAUUGACCUUAAUCAUUUGAUAAAGGUUCAAGUGCGAGCAUGCCUAUUGAGACCAAAAAAUGGUGACUAUGCUCGAGCAAGGUAAAGCUAGAGAAAACUCUUGUGGAGGCCCGCAAUGAUACUUACAUGCAAAUCAUUCAUUUGACUUAGGUAUAAGGGUGAAAAACUAAUCGAACCAUCCAGUAGCUAGUUCAUUUCAAAGUUUCCCUCAGGAUAGCUAAAGCCUUUAACGAGUUUUAUUAGGUAAAACCAAUGAUUAGAGGCAUCAAGGGUGCAAUGCCCUUAACCUAUUCUCAAACUUUAAAUAGGUAAGAUGACAUGAUUGCUUUAUUAAGCCAUGCCAUGGAAUUGAAAGCUCCAAGUGGGCCAUUUUUGGGAAGCAGAAUUUGUGAUGUAGGAUGAACUAAAAGCUGGGUUAUGGUGCCCAAUUGCAUGCUAACCUAGAACCCACAUUGAUUAAGACAAUAGGAUAUUGGUCAUAGAAGUUGAAAUAUGCUAAGAAGUGUGUAACAACUCACCUACCAAAUUAACUAGCCCUGAAAAUGGAUGGUGCUUAAAUGCAUGACCUAUACCCAACUGUCGAGGCUAAGGCCAGGACCUGAUGAGUAGGAAAACAUGGCAAUCAUUGCAAAACCUGGGCAUGAGCCCAGUAAAGCAACUGUCAGUGCAAAUCUUGGUGGUAGUAACAAUUAUUCAAAUGAGAACUUUGAAGGCCAAAGAAGGGAAAGGUUCUAUGUAGACGAUAAUUGCACAUGGGCUAGUCGAUCCUAAAAGACAGGGAAAGCUCAUCCAACAUUCAACCACUGCAAGUUUCAAAAUGGAAUCAAGUUAAAAUUCCUAAACUGGGAUGUAGCAACUGACAACAACAUUAAAGAGUCUAGAGGCAUUGGUAGAGGCCUCGAGAAAAGUUAUCUUUUCUGUUUAAUGGCCUGCUUACCAUAUAAAUAACUUAACCGAAGGUAGGGUCUAGCAGUAAGAAGAACAUCGAAUGUUGCAUGGUAUUAGGUGCACCCCUAGUGGCCCUUAAAAAUUCAAAGUAUCAAGUGUCAUUGAUGUCUGAUCACACUCAUAACCACAUCAGGUCUCCAAGGUGAAUAGCCUUUGGUCGAUGGAACAAUGUAGGCAAGAGAAGUCAGUAAAAUGGAUCCAUAACCUCGAGAAAAAGAUUGGCUCUGAGGGCUAGGCAUGGAAGUCCCAGUUUCAAACCUAUCAACUGCUAGUGCAUUGCUAGAGCUACUCCCGUUAUAAGAGUGAGUCUUUGCAUGCUAACCAAGGGACAAGCUAGAAUGGCUCCCUCGAGGGCCUUCCCUAUAUGAUGAAUAGUUAACUUAAAAUUAGUACAAACAAAGGGAAUCUGACUGUUUAAUUAAAACAAAGCAUUGCAAUGGUCUUUAUUGAUACUUAUGCAAUGUGAUUUCUACCCAGUGCUUUGAAUGUCAAAGUGAAAAAAUUCAACCAAGUGCGUGUAAAUGGCGAGAGUAACUAUGACUCUUUUAAAGUAGCCAAAUGCCUUGUUAUCUAAUUAGUGAAGAGAAUGAAUAGAUUAACGAGAUUACCAUUGUCCCUAUCUAUUAUCCAGUGAAACCACAGCUAAGGGAAUGGGCUUGGGAGAAUUAAAGGGGAAAGAAACCCUAUUGAGCUUGACUCUAGUUUGACUUUGUGAAAUGACUUGAGAGGAGUAGGAUAAGUAGAAACCUUCAGGCGAAAUUGAAAUACCACUACUUUUAAUGUUAUUUUACUUAUUCUGUGAAUUGUAGGUAGGGCACGAUCGUUUUUUUUAGACCCAAGGCUGGCCUCAAUCAGUCAAUCUAAGCAGAAGACAUUGUUAGAUAGGGGUGUUUGGCUGGGGCAACAAAUCUGCUAAAAGAUAACAAAAGUGUCCUAAGAUGAGCUUAACGAGAACAAAAAUCUAUUCUGGAAUAAAAGGGUAAAAGCAUGUUUGAUUUUAAUUUCUAGUAUGAAUAUGAACCUUGAAAGUGUGGCCUAUUGAUCCUUUAGACCUUCAAAAUAUGAAGCCUAAGUUGUUAGAAAAGUUACCAUAGGGGUAACUAGUUUGUGGUAGCCAAGCAUUCAUAGCGACAUUGCUUUUUGAUCCUUUGAUGUUGGCUUUUCCUAUCAUUAUGAAGCAGAAUUCACCAAGUGUUGGAUUGCUCACCCACCAAUAAGAAACAUAGCUAGGCUUAGACUAUCAUGAGAUAGGUUAGUUUUACUCUAUUUAUGGUAGCGUCGUAAUAGUAAUUCAACCUAGUAUGAGAGGAAUAGGUGAUUCACACAAUUGGUUAUUGCAUUUGGUUAAAAAGCCAAUUGCAUGAAGCUACCAUGUGCUGGAUUAUGAUUGAACACCUUUAAGUCAAAAUCAAGGCUAGAAGUGACAAACGCGUCCACUACCUAAUUGCUGACCUGUAGUAGGGGACCAUGGCCCCUAAGGGCACGUGUUAUAAGUGCAGCCCUAUGAUGAGUAAGUCUCAUCGACCUUUUCAGAGCUCAAUUCCCAUCGAGUGAUUGGCAGAAUC